rnacentral:rRNA from 1 species
UUCAUACCGCCCUGAAUGUGCAUGAUCUCGUCUGGUCUCAGAUGCUAAGUAGGGUCAGGCCUGGUGAGUACUUGGAUGGGAGAAAGAUCUUCAGAGGAGACAGUUCAGAGACAAAC